GUGGCCACGAGGUUAUUUGCUCAAUUGCUCCCUCGCUUGCUCCUUCUGCCCUCCCCCCAACCCCACCCCAACUCGUCGGAGUGGGUUUCAACCGUCGCUGCAGGCUGCGCCCGGCCCCCUCUCGGCCGGCGCGCACCGGAAAAUAUACGGAGGCAGGAAAGAGAACUGGAUGACCAACCGCCUCUGUUGGCAGCAGCGCCCAGCCCGGAACCGAGCCACGAGACAACUUGCUCCAUCAGCCUGAGCCCAAUGAUUCGGAGGCUCAUCCACACAUUCUGCAAAGAAGCCACAGCAUUGGAAAACCCAAACUAGAUUCUUGUAUUUCCCAAGCCCUUCAGUUAACAUUGCUCAAUGUAGCUAAGUGGAGGGAAUG